AAACUUUCAACAACGGAUCUCUUGGUUCUGGCAUCGAUGAAGAACGCAGCGAAAUGCGAUAAGUAAUGUGAAUUGCAGAAUUCAGUGAAUCAUCGAAUCUUUGAACGCACAUUGCGCCCGUUAGUAUUCUAGCGGGCAUGCCUGUUCGAGCGUCAUUA
rnacentral:rRNA from 1 species